rnacentral:rRNA from 1 species
CCGGCGCACGGGUGAGUAACGCGUAUGCAACUUGCCUAUCAGGAGGGGGAUAACCCGGCGAAAGUCGGACUAAUACCGCAUGAAGCAGGGGCCCCGCAUGGGGAUAUUUGCUAAAGAUUCAUCGCUGAUAGAUAGGCAUGCGUUCCAUUAGGCAGUUGGCGGGGUAACGGCCCACCAAACCGACGAUGGAUAGGGGUUCUGAGAGGAAGGUCCCCCACAUUGGUACUGAGACACGGACCAAACUCCUACGGGAGGCAGCAG